GGCAUGCACUAUUCACCUUUGUUUUGAUUUUGCUUUAUUUACAACAAUACCAGCCGAAUGUGGCUGGGUUGGGGGGUGAUUCUCAAAAAUUCAGAGGGUGAUUUUGUCUUUUGAGGUCAAUUCCUCCCCCCUCGAUUUUGCUUUAUUUACAACACAACCGUGUGAUUUGGGGCUGGGUUGGAACGUAGUUAUUAAAUGUUAGGAGGGUAAUUUUGUCCUGUAUGCUUGAGACGGAUUGGGGUGGGUUUGGGUAUGCUGUCAUUCAGUGAGGGAUUCGGGGAUGGGAGGCCAUGCCUCCGAUAGAGAGAGAGAGACAGAGCGAGAGAGAGGGAGAGGGAGGAGUGGGGAUGUCAGUGCCAUUGCUGCAGAUCCUCGAUUUCAUGAGUGGGAGAGGGGGGACAACCAGAGAAAAGUAUGGGGGUACUCCGAUCUCUCUCUCUCUCUCCUCCGUUUCUCUCUCUUAAUUUCCUUUUGGUUUUGGAAAUCUCUGACCUUUUGGGUGAGUGAGAGAUUAUUGAUGAUGAGAAAAGUAUGGAGGUCUGACCUUUUGGUUUGGGUAUGCUUUCAUUCCUCAAUUUUCUCCAUCCGAGCAAUGAAAAAUCGAACUGGGUUUUCAGAUUAUUGAUGCACAGGGAUUCACGGACAGAGAAGGGAGAGAGAGAGAGUUGAUUGAGGGAGUUGGUGAGUAUGGGCUUGCACAGAGGGAAGAUCAAAACAAACGUGAAAAGCGCCUGCCCUCCCUCCUAAGUGGGAAAUGGCGAGCGCAGUGGACCCAAUUUCAUGGCAGGUAACCAUCUUCAAUUUUUCGGUUUGAUUUAAAGGAAUUUUUUAGGCAGAAAAGCUAUGGCUUUCCGAAGUUUGUACUGCCUCAUCAUUAGAACUGUUUCUUUCUGCUCUUCUUCUCGAAACAAGGUCGCAGAUCCACAGGCCAUCAAGGUUCACUAUCAGUAAAAGGCACAUGAAAUACGAAUAGACAAUGUGUUGUUCAGGAAUACGAAACAUGAGACGUGGUUUACUUCAUAUGGCAUAGACAGGUUGCAAAACCCUCUGUUCUCAAGGUCGUGAUUGAGGGGAGUUUGAAAUGGCAAUUGGAAUUAAGGUCAUAAUACAUAGUCAUUUGCAACCAAGUAUUCAUAUUCAACUUAUGCGUGGUUUACUCUUCUUCAGCCUAUUUUUUCACACUUUCAGUCAUCAGUAGGUGGGCUAAGGAAUUCCCACAUGUAGCAUUGUAAGUUUCUAAAUACAUGCAGACAAUGUGGAUUAUUAUGUAUGAUCAAUGGUAAUUCAUUUGUUUAAUUUUUUUUCUUAAAUGUCCCAAGCUUUGAUCACAAAUUGAGAUAGAACUGAAAGAAAAUAAACUAAGAGUUGAAGACGCUCUGAGGAAAUUGGCCUUUCCUGGUCCGUUUUGCGAUCACAGAUACUCACGCCUAAAUUCUCUAUCGGUUUCAUCGAGGACAUGAAGACUAGGUUAAUGAGAAGUCUUUGUAGCUGAUGGAAUUACAUCAUUUCCAAAGUUGCAGAUAAGGAUUACAAGGUGGUUCUGAUAUGGAGGAGAAGCUGCAAGAGCUUAUGAUCUUGCUGCACUUAAGUACAGAGUGGUGCUGAAAGUUUUCCUCAUUAAGCUCCUAUGCCCAGUUGGUCGGGUGUAUAUGACAUGCAGUGAGCACAGGGACACAGAUAGGGAAGCAGAACAUUUUUUACAAUCACAUUUUUGUAAUCAGCUUGGUUGAAUGUAUAUAAAAGCUAAGUUGUUUUUCUUACUAACACUGUUCACUUAGCUAUCCCUUUUGUUUGUUCACGAUUAUAUUGAAUUUUUUUCAUGUUAAAUGUGUCUUAUUCAUGUUGUUAA